CUAUUAUUCCUUCCGUCCAAAAAUACUUGUCAUCAAAAUGAAUAAAAGGAAUGUAUUUAGAACUAAAAUACAUCUAGAUACAUUCCCUUUUAUUUAUUUUGAUGUCAAGUAUUUUCGGACGGAGGGGGUACUUG
rnacentral:pre_miRNA from 1 species